UGAGGAAUAUUGGACAAUGGGCGAAAGCCUGAUCCAGCCAUGCCGCGUGAAUGAUGAAGGCCUUAGGGUUGUAAAGUUCUUUUAGCUGUGACGAUGAUGACGGUAGCAGCAGAAAAAGCCCCGGCUAACUCCGUGCCAGCAGCCGCGGUAAUACGGAGGGGGCGAGCGUUGUUCGGAUUUACUGGGCGUAAAGCGUGUGUAGGUGGUUUCCCAAGUAGGAAGUGAAAGCCCAGGGCUUAACCCUGGAACUGCUUUCUAAACUGGGUCACUAGAGUGUAGGAGAGGCAAACGGAAUUCCGAGUGUAGAGGUGAAAUUCGUAGAUAUUCGGAGGAACACCAAUGGCGAAAGCAGUUUGCUGGACUAAUACUGACACUGAGACACGAAAGCGUGGGUAGCAAA
rnacentral:rRNA from 1 species